ACUCAAAUGAAUUGACGGGGACCCGCACAAGCGGUGGAGCAUGUUGUUCAAUUCGAAGCAACGCGAAGAACCUUACCUACCCUUGACAUGUCCAGUAUGGGGCCGAGAGAUCGGCUUCUUCAGUUCGGCUGGCUGGAACACAGGUGCUGCAUGGCUGUCGUCAGCUCGUGUCGUGAGAUGUUGGGUUAAGUCCCGCAACGAGCGCAACCCUCAUCGUCUGUUGCCAUCAGGUUAAGCUGGGCACUCUGACGAGACUGCCGGUGACAAGCCGGAGGAAGGCGGGGAUGACGUCAAGUCAUCAUGGCCCUUACGGGUAGGGCCACAAACGUGCUACAAUGGCGGUGACAGUGGGCCGCGAGGCAGUGAUGCCAAGCCAAUCCCAAAAAGCCGUCUCAGUUCAGAUUGUACUCUGCAACUCGAGUGCAUGAAGCUGGAAUCGCUAGUAAUCGUGGAUCAGCACGCCACGGUGAAUACGUUCCCGGGUCUUGCACACACCGCCCGU
rnacentral:rRNA from 1 species